rnacentral:rRNA from 1 species
UACGUAGGUGGCAAGCGUUGUCCGGAUUUAUUGGGUUUAAAGGGUGCGUAGGCGGUUCCAUAAGUCAGUGGUGAAAUACGGCAGCUCAACUGUCGAGGUGCCACUGAUACUGCGGAACUUGAGUGUUGAUGAGGCAGGCGGAAUUGACGGUGUAGCGGUGAAAUGCUUAGAUAUCGUCAAGAACACCGAUAGCGAAGGCAGCUUGCCAAGCAACAACUGACGCUCAGGCACGAAAGUGCGGGGAUCAAACAGG